GACGAACGCUGGCGGCGUGCCUAAUACAUGCAAGUAGAACGCUGAAGAGAGGAGCUUGCUCUUCUUGGAUGAGUUGCGAACGGGUGAGUAACGCGUAGGUAACCUGCCUUGUAGCGGGGGAUAACUAUUGGAAACGAUAGCUAAUACCGCAUAACAAUGGAUGACACAUGUCAUUUAUUUGAAAGGGGCAAUUGUUCCACUACAAGAUGGACCUGCGUUGUAUUAGCUAGUAGGUGAGGUAAUGGCUCACCUAGGCGACGAUACAUAGCCGACCUGAGAGGGUGAUCGGCCACACUGGGACUGGGACACGGCCCAGACUCCUACGGGAGGCAGCAGGAGGGAAUCUUCGGCAAUGGGGGCAACCCUGACCGAGCAACGCCGCGUGAGGGAAGAAGGUUGUCGGAUCGUAAAGCUCUGUUGUAAGUCAAGAACGGGUGUGAGAGUGGAAAGUUCACACUGUGACGGUAGCUGACCAGAAAGGGACGGCUAACUACGUG
rnacentral:rRNA from 1 species